AGAGUUUGAUCCUGGCUCAGAACGAACGCUGGCGGCGUGGAUAAGACAUGCAAGUCGAACGAGAGAAUUGCUAGCUUGCUAAUAAUUCUCUAGUGGCGCACGGGUGAGUAACACGUGAGUAACCUGCCCCCGAGAGCGGGAUAGCCCUGGGAAACUGGGAUUAAUACCGCAUAGUAUCGAAAGAUUAAAGCAGCAAUGCGCUUGGGGAUGGGCUCGCGGCCUAUUAGUUAGUUGGUGAGGUAACGGCUCACCAAGGCGAUGACGGGUAGCCGGUCUGAGAGGAUGUCCGGCCACACUGGAACUGAGACACGGUCCAGACACCUACGGGUGGCAGCAGUCGAGAAUCAUUCACAAUGGGGGAAACCCUGAUGGUGCGACGCCGCGUGGGGGAAUGAAGGUCUUCGGAUUGUAAACCCCUGUCAUGUGGGAGCAAAUUAAAAAGAUAGUACCACAAGAGGAAGAGACGGCUAACUCUGUGCCAGCAGCCGCGGUAAUACAGAGGUCUCAAGCGUUGUUCGGAAUCACUGGGCGUAAAGCGUGCGUAGGCUGUUUCGUAAGUCGUGUGUGAAAGGCGCGGGCUCAACCCGCGGACGGCACAUGAUACUGCGAGACUAGAGUAAUGGAGGGGGAACCGGAAUUCUCGGUGUAGCAGUGAAAUGCGUAGAUAUCGAGAGGAACACUCGUGGCGAAGGCGGGUUCCUGGACAUUAACUGACGCUGAGGCACGAAGGCCAGGGGAGCGAAAGGGAUUAGAUACCCCUGUAGUCCUGGCAGUAAACGGUGCGCGCUUGGUGUGCGGGGAAUCGACCCCCUGCGUGCCGGAGCUAACGCGUUAAGCGUGCCGCCUGGGGAGUACGGUCGCAAGAUUAAAACUCAAAGAAAUUGACGGGGACCCGCACAAGCGGUGGAGUAUGUGGCUUAAUUCGAUGCAACGCGAAGAACCUUACCUGGGCUUGACAUGUAAUGAACAACAUGUGAAAGCAUGCGACUCUUCGGAGGCGUUACACAGGUGCUGCAUGGCCGUCGUCAGCUCGUGUCGUGAGAUGUUUGGUUAAGUCCAGCAACGAGCGCAACCCCUGUUGCCAGUUACCAGCACGUGAAGGUGGGGACUCUGGCGAGACUGCCCAGAUCAACUGGGAGGAAGGUGGGGACGACGUCAGGUCAGUAUGGCCCUUAUGCCCAGGGCUGCACACGUACUACAAUGCCCAGUACAGAGGGGGCCGAAGCCGCGAGGCGGAGGAAAUCCUAAAAACUGGGCCCAGUUCGGACUGUAGGCUGCAACCCGCCUACACGAAGCCGGAAUCGCUAGUAAUGGCGCAUCAGCUACGGCGCCGUGAAUACGUUCCCGGGUCUUGCACACACCGCCCGUCA
rnacentral:rRNA from 1 species